CCUACGGGAGGCAGCAGUGGGGAAUAUUGGGCAAUGGAGGAAACUCUGACCCAGCGACGCCGCGUGAGGGAUGAAGGCCUUCGGGUUGUAAACCUCUUUCAGUAGGGAAGAAGCGAAAGUGACGGUACCUACAGAAGAAGCACCGGCUAACUAUGUGCCAGCAGCCGCGGUAAUACAUAGGGUGCAAGCGUUGUCCGGAAUUAUUGGGCGUAAAGAGCUCGUAGGUGGUUCGAUACGUCGGAUGUGAAAAUCAGGGGCUCAACCCCUGACCUGCAUCCGAUACGGUCGAGCUAGAGUUUGGUAGGGAGACUGGAAUUCCUGGUGUAGCGGUGGAAUGCGCAGAUAUCAGGAGGAACACCGAUGGCGAAGGCAGGUCUCUGGGCCAAUACUGACACUGAGGAGCGAAAGCGUGGGGAGCGAACAGGAUUAGAUACCCUGGUAGUCCACGCCGUAAACGGUGGGCGCUAGUUGUGCGAACCUUCCACGGUUUGUGCGACGCAGCUACGCAUAGCGCCCGCCGUCGGGAGGUACGANCGCGAAGAUUAAACUUAAAUUAGUAAGUUAGACGGCGUGAGACGUGCCGAACGGACGACGACGAGGGAGGUAGG
rnacentral:rRNA from 1 species